rnacentral:rRNA from 1 species
AGGGAAUCUUCCGCAAUGGGUGAAAGCCUGACGGAGCAACGCCGCGUGAGUGAUGAAGGUCUUCGGAUCGUAAAACUCUGUUAUCAGGGAAGAACAAACGUGUAAGUAACUGUGCACGUCUUGACGGUACCUGAUCAGAAAGCCACGGCUAACUACGUGCCAGCAGCCGCGGUAAUACGUAGGUGGCAAGCGUUAUCCGGAAUUAUUGGGCGUAAAGCGCGCGUAGGCGGUUUUUUAAGUCUGAUGUGAAAGCCCACGGCUCAACCGUGGAGGGUCAUUGGAAACUGGAAAACUUGAGUGCAGAAGAGGAAAGUGGAAUUCCAUGUGUAGCGGUGAAAUGCGCAGAGAUAUGGAGGAACACCAGUGGCGAAGGCGACUUUCUGGUCUGUAACUGACGCUGAUGUGCGAAAGCGUGGGGAUCAAACAGGAUUAGAUACCCUGGUAGUCCACGCCGUAAACGAUGAGUGCUAAGUGUUAGGGGGUUUCCGCCCCUUAGUGCUGCAGCUAACGCAUUAAGCACUCCGCCUGGGGAGUACGACCGCAAGGUUG